UACGGCCGCAUCACGUUGAAAUACCAGUUCCCGUACGAUCACCGAAGUUAAGCGGCGUCGAGCUUGGUCAGUACCUAGAAGAGUGACCGCUUGUGCAUACUAGGUACUGUAA